AUUGAACGCUGGCGGCAUGCCUUACACAUGCAAGUCGAACGGCAGCACGGGAGCAAUCCUGGUGGCGAGUGGCGAACGGGUGAGUAAAGUAUCGGAACGUGCCCAGUCGUGGGGGAUAACGUAGCGAAAGUUACGCUGAUACCGCAUACGAUCUAUGGAUGAAAGCGGGGGAUCGCAAGACCUCGCGCGAUUGAAGCGGCCGAUAUCGGAUUAGGUAGUUGGUGGGGUAAAGGCCCACCAAGCCGACGAUCUGUAGCUGGUCUGAGAGGACGACCAGCCACACUGGGACUGAGACACGGCCCAGACUCCUACGGGAGGCAGCAGUGGGGAAUUUUGGACAAUGGGCGAAAGCCUGAUCCAGCCAUGCCGCGUGCAGGAUGAAGGCCUUCGGGUUGUAAACUGCUUUUGUACGGAACGAAAAGGACUGCCCUAAUACGGUGGUCCCAUGACGGUACCGUAAGAAUAAGCACCGGCUAACUACGUGCCAGCCGCCGCAGUAA
rnacentral:rRNA from 1 species